UAAAAAUGCUGGCAUAGAAGACUUAGCAUAUGUACCUAUUGAAAAGUUACACCAACUGAAGUUUGUUUGUGGUGGGCACUUCACUCCUGAAUCCUUCAAUGCCAAAGGAACUCGGCUGAAGAACUCAGCUAUUCCAACACUGGAAUUGAGCAAUCCCAUCUUGCCAGAUGAAGUUUUGACAGAGUUUCCUCUUCAUGUAAAAGACUCCAAUAAAGAAAACCUCAAGACAGUUCUUUAUGAUCAUUCAUAUUGCAUUCCAAAGAAGUCAAAUCCAGUUGAACGAGUUCCCCUUACAACUACAACCAAACAACUAAAUUCAACAUGUUUGGGAGCUGUGCAUGUAUGGAUAUACCAGAUUCUGGUAUUUCUGC